rnacentral:rRNA from 1 species
CACGUAGGCGGAUUUGUAAGUCAGGGGUGAAAUCCCGGGGCUCAACCUCGGAACUGCCUUUGAUACUGCGAAUCUCGAGUCCGAUAGAGGUGGGUGGAAUUCCUAGUGUAGAGGUGAAGUUCGUAGAUAUUAGGAAGAACACCGGUGGCGAAGGCGGCCCACUGGAUCGGUACUGACGCUGAGGUGCGAAAGCGUGGGGAGCAAACA